UACGUAGGUGGCAAGCGUUAUCCGGAAUUACUGGGCGUAAAGCGCACGCAGGCGGUCUUUUAAGUUUGACGUGAAAGCUCCCGGCUUAACUGGGAGAGGUCGUUGAAGACUGGAAGACUUGAGGCAAUGAGAGGGGUGUAGAAUUCCCGGUGUAGUGGUGGAAUGCGUAGAUAUCGGGGGGAAUACCAGUGGCGAAAGCGGCACCCUAGCGUUGGCCUGACGCUCAUGUGCGAAAGUGUGGGGAGCGAACGGG
rnacentral:rRNA from 1 species